CGUUCUCGUUUCCUUUUCAUCUUGUCGGAUAAAUCUUUCGCCUUUUACUAAAGAUUUCCGUGGAAGGGAAACAUUCAAGAGAACUGGUCUCAAUUUUUUGACUUCCACUCUCUGAGUGGAUU
rnacentral:snRNA from 1 species